UACCAGCACCCCGAGUGGUCGGGACGUUUAUUGGGCCUAAAGCAUCCGUAGCCGGUUCUACAAGUCUUCCGUUAAAUCCACCUGCUCAACAGAUGGGCUGCGGAAGAUACUAUGGAGCUAGGAGGCGGGAGAGGCAAGCGGUACUCGAUGGGUAGGGUAAAAUCCGUUGAUCCAUUGAAGACCACCAGUGGCGAAGGCGGCUUGCCAGAACGCGCUCGACGGUGAGGGAUGAAAGCUGGGGGAGCAAACCGGG
rnacentral:rRNA from 1 species